ACAGAGGUUACAGCUGGUGUUUAGAUCCUGGGUUCCUUCCCUUCCACUUCCGGGUCUAUGAAAGGAAGGGGUUCAGGAUCUGAACUUCAGAUCUAAGCUCUAGU